rnacentral:rRNA from 1 species
CAAGGCGGCGAUGGCGCGGGGGAUCCACCCCUCCCCAUUCCGAACAGGGAAGUUAAGCCCCGCGGCGCCGAUGGUACUGGGAGACCGGGAGAGUAGGACACCGCCCCCU